rnacentral:rRNA from 1 species
AUUGAACGCUGGCGGCAUGCUUUACACAUGCAAGUCGAACGGUAACAGGUCUUCGGAUGCUGACGAGUGGCGAACGGGUGAGUAAUGCAUCGGAACGUGCCCAGUCGUGGGGGAUAACGCAGCGAAAGCUGUGCUAAUACCGCAUACGAUCUAUGGAUGAAAGCGGGGGAUCGCAAGACCUCGCGCGAUUGGAGCGGCCGAUGUCAGAUUAGCUAGUUGGUGGGGUAAAGGCCCACCAAGGCGACGAUCUGUAGCUGGUCUGAGAGGACGACCAGCCACACUGGGACUGAGACACGGCCCAGACUCCUACGGGAGGCAGCAGUGGGGAAUUUUGGACAAUGGGCGCAAGCCUGAUCCAGCAAUGCCGCGUGCAGGAAGAAGGCC